GAUGAACGCUGGCGGCGUGCCUAAUACAUGCCAGUCGAGCGAACGGACGAGAAGCUUGCUUCUCUGAUGUUAGCGGCGGACGGGUGAGUAACACGUGGAUAACCUACCUAUAAGACUGGGAUAACUUCGGGAAACCGGAGCUAAUACCGGAUAAUAUUUUGAACCGCAUGGUUCAAAAGUGAAAGACGGUCUUGCGGUCACUUAUAGAUGGAUCCGCGCUGCAUUAGGUAGUUGGUAAGGUAACGGCUUACCAAGGCAACGAUGCAUAGCCGACCUGAGGGGGUGAUCGGCCACACUGGAACUUAGACACGGUCCAGACUCCUACGGGAGGCAGCAGUAUGGAAUCUUCCGCAAUGGGCGAAAGCCUGACGGAGCAACGCCGCGUGAGUGAUGAAGGUCUUCGGAUCGUAAAACUCUGUUAUUAGGGAAGAACAUAUGUGUAAGUAACUGUGCACAUCUUGACGGUACCUAAUCAGAAAGCCACGGCUAACUACGUG
rnacentral:rRNA from 1 species